CAGAGAAUAGUUUAAUGUAGAACACCAGCUUUGGGAGUUGGUAAUAGAGGUUUAAGUCCUCUUUCUCUGA
rnacentral:tRNA from 2 species